rnacentral:rRNA from 1 species
GUGGCGAAGGCGGCCCCCUGGACGAAGACUGACGCUCAGGUGCGAAAGCGUGGGGAGCAAACAGGAUUAGAUACCCUGGUAGUCCACGCCGUAAACGAUGUCGACUUGGAGGUUGUGCCCUUGAGGCGUGGCUUCCGGAGCUAACGCGUUAAGUCGACCGCCUGGGGAGUACGGCCGCAAGGUUAAAACUCAAAUGAAUUGACGGGGGCCCGCACAAGCGGUGGAGCAUGUGGUUUAAUUCGAUGCAACGCGAAGAACCUUACCUGGUCUUGACAUCCACAGAACUUUCCAGAGAUGGAUUGGUGCCUUCGGGAACUGUGAGACAGGUGCUGCAUGGCUGUCGUCAGCUCGUGUUGUGAAAUGUUGGGUUAAGUCCCGCAACGAGCGCAACCCUUAUCCUUUGUUGCCAGCGGUCCGGCCGGGAACUCAAAGGAGACUGCCAGUGAUAAACUGGAGGAAGGUGGGGAUGACGUCA